rnacentral:rRNA from 1 species
AGCGAACGCUGGCGGCAGGCUUAACACAUGCAAGUCGAGCGGGCACUUCGGUGUCAGCGGCAGACGGGUGAGUAACCCGUGGGAACGUACCCUUUGGUUCGGAAUAACGCUGGGAAACUAGCGCUAAUACCGGAUACGCCCUUUUGUGGAAAGGCUUGCUGCCGAAGGAUCGGCCCGCGUCUGAUUAGCUUGUUGGUGGGGUAAUGGCCUACCAAGGCGACGAUCAGUAGCUGGUCUGAGAGGAUGAUCAGCGACACUGGGACUGAGACACGGCCCAGACUCCUACGGGAGGCAGCAGUGGGGAAUAUUGGACAAUGGGCGCAAGCCUGAUCCAGCCAUGCCGCGUGAGUGAUGAAGGCCUUAGGGUUGUAAAGCUAUUUUGUCCGGGACGAUAAUGACGGUACCGGAAGAAUAAGCCCCGGCUAACUUCGUG